GAAAUGCGAUAAGUAAUGUGAAUUGCAGAAUUCAGUGAAUCAUCGAAUCUUUGAACGCACCUUGCGCUCCUUGGUAUUCCGAGGAGCAUGCCUGUUUGAGUGUCAUUAAAUUCUCAACCCAUUCAGCUUUGCUGUAAUGUGGCUUGGAUAGUGGGGGUAUUGUGCAGGCCUUUGUGAUUCAAAGGUCAGCUCCCCUGAAAUACAUUAGCGGAACGGUUUGCGAUCCGUCACUUGGUGUGAUAAUUAUCUAUGCCAAAAGACUAUGGAAUGCUCUCUGUCUGUUCAGCUUCUAACAGUCCCAUCUGUGGACAACUUUUGAAUGUUUGACCUCAAAUCAGGUAGGACUACCCGCUGAACUUAA
rnacentral:rRNA from 1 species